GUUAAUGAUAACAUCUAAACUACGUCGUUUAUGUUAAAACGUGUUUUUUUAACUUUAAAUUCUUUGCUGACCUUCUGACAUCGUUCAAACAAACGGAGAAUUUCCUCUUACAAACGCUAAAAGCUUAAGCCUUCCGCCGCACCACGUUGAAGUCACCACCUUAUUUCACUUCACGAUUGCCUUUCUAGCUCCGUCGUCGUUGUGGUUGUCAUUCACCGCUCUGGAGCCGCUGUUUUGAUUGAACUAAAGGAAGCAAGGAACCCUAAAUAGCUGCCCACUCCUCUGCCUCGUUUCCUUUUUAGAAAAUCGUUCUCUUUUAGAGUUUAUCGCUCUUUACUGGCCUAAAAGAACUAUGCGAUUCAAGGAAGUCAAUUCGGGAGAGAUUCAAUA
rnacentral:misc_RNA from 1 species